GCGCUCACUUCGGCAGCACAGAGACUAAAAUUGGAAUGGCAUAGAGAAGCUUGGCGUGGGCCCUGUACAAGGAGGACACACAAAUUCAUGAUGUGCUCCAUAUUUAA